UUCGGGCAGAUGACGGCGGUGCACCGCGAGGAAGGGCUGAGCCAGUACCGUGCAUACGACAGCCGUGGACAGUUAAUUGCCGUGA
rnacentral:tRNA from 1 species